rnacentral:rRNA from 1 species
UACACUCCUACGGGAGGCAGCAGUGGGGAAUAUUGCACAAUGGGCGCAAGCCUGAUGCAGCCAUGCCGCGUGUAUGAAGAAGGCCUUCGGGUUGUAAAGUACUUUCAGCGGGGAGGAAGGCAAUACGGUUAAUAACCGUGUUGAUUGACGUUACCCGCAGAAGAAGCACCGGCUAACUCCGUGCCAGCAGCCGCGGUAAUACGGAGGGUGCAAGCGUUAAUCGGAAUUACUGGGCGUAAAGCGCACGCAGGCGGUCUGUCAAGUCGGAUGUGAAAUCCCCGGGCUCAACCUGGGAACUGCAUUCGAAACUGGCAGGCUUGAGUCUUGUAGAGGGGGGUAGAAUUCCAGGUGUAGCGGUGAAAUGCGUAGAGAUCUGGAGGAAUACCGGUGGCGAAGGCGGCCCCCUGGACAAGGACUGACGCUCAGGUGCGAAAGCGUGGGGAGCAAACAGGAUUAGAAACCCCGGUAGUCCCAUGA